CGCGGUAUUUUGACUGUGCGAAGGUAGCAUAAUCAUUUGUCUUUUAAUUGAAGACUUGUAUGAAUGGCUGAACGAGAAAAUAACUGUCUCUUUUAAAAAUCUUGAAUUUUACUUUUUAGUGAAAAGGCUUAAAUAAAUUUAAGGGACGAUAAGACCCUAUAAAUCUUUAUAUUAUUUUUCUUUAAUUUUCAAAUUAUAUAUUAAAAGAAAAGAAAAGAAAAAAUAUUAUAUUGGGGAGAUAAAAAUAUAUUUUUUAACUGUUUUAAUUAUAAAACAAUAAUUUUUGAUUUAUAAAAUUGAUCCUUUUUAAAGAUUUUAAGAUUAAGUUACUUUAGGGAUAACAGCGUAAUUUUUUUUGAGAGUUCUUAUCGAAAAAAAAGUUUGCGACCUCGAUGUUGAAUUAAAAUAUCCUUAUAAGUGCAGAAGCUAUAAAGGAAAGUCUGUUCGACUUUUAAAAUUUUACGU
rnacentral:rRNA from 1 species